rnacentral:hammerhead_ribozyme from 1 species
AUCCCUCUGUCGAGUCCCGUAUAGGACGAAACGCGCGUGCAAAUGGAU